rnacentral:rRNA from 1 species
CCCUCUAGAGAUAGAGUUUUCCCCUUCGGGGGACAGAGUGACAGGUGGUGCAUGGUUGUCGUCAGCUCGUGUCGUGAGAUGUUGGGUUAAGUCCCGCAACGAGCGCAACCCUUAAGCUUAGUUGCCAUCAUUAAGUUGGGCACUCUAAGUUGACUGCCGGUGACAAACCGGAGGAAGGUGGGGAUGACGUCAAAUCAUCAUGCCCCUUAUGAUUUGGGCUACACACGUGCUACAAUGGACAAUACAAAGGGUAGCGAAACCGCGAGGUCAAGCAAAUCCCAUAAAGUUGUUCUCAGUUCGGAUUGUAGUCUGCAACUCGACUACAUGAAGCUGGAAUCGCUAGUAAUCGUAGAUCAGCAUGCUACGGUGAAUACGUUCCCGGGUCUUGUACACACCGCCCGUCACACCACGAGAGUUUGUAACACCCGAAGCCGGUGGAGUAACCUUUUGGAGCUAGCCGUCGAAGGUGGGACAAAUGAUUGGGGUGAAGUCGUAACAAGGUAGCCGUAUCGGAAGGUGCGGCUGGAUCACCUCCUUU